rnacentral:rRNA from 1 species
AGUCAACAUGCCCAGGGGACGUGGAUAACCUCGGGAAACUGAGGAUAAACCACGAUAGGUCAUAAUGUCUGGAAUGAUUCAUGGCUAAAAUCUACAUGGCCCCUGGAUUGGACUGCGGCCGAUCAGGCUGUUGGUGAGGUAAUGGCCCACCAAACCUAAAACCGGUACGGGCUCUGAGAGGAGAAGCCCGGAGAUGGGCACUGAGACAAGGGCCCAGGCCCUAUGGGGCGCAGCAGGCGCGAAAACUCUGCAAUAAGCGAAAGCUUGACAGGGUUAUUCUGAGUGACUUCCGCUAAGGAAAUCUUUUGGCACCUCCAAAAAUGGUGCAGAAUAAGGGGUGGGCAAGCCUGGUGUCAGCCGCCGCGGUAAUACCAGCACCCCGAGUGGUCGGGACGAUUAUUGGGCCUAAAGCAUCCGUAGCCGGUUCUACAAGUCUUCCGUUAAAUCCAUCUGCUUAACAGAUGGGCUGCGGAGGAUACUAUGGAGCUAGGAGGCGGGAGAGGCAAGCGGUACUUAGUGGGUAGGGGUAAAAUCCGUUGAUCCACUGAAGACCACCAGUGGCGAAGGCGGCUUGCCAGAACGCGCUCGACGGUGAGGGAUGAAAGCUGGGGGAGCAAACCGGAUUAGAUACCCGGGUAGUCCCAGCUGUAAACGAUGCAGACUCGGUGAUGAACAGGCUUCGUGCCUUUUCAGUGCCGCAGGGAAGCCGUUAAGUCUGCCGCCUGGGGAGUACGGUCGCAAGACUGAAACUUAA